CCCCUGCCACGUCCUGACCAAACUACAAUAACCCCUUUUACUGGUCAGGACAAGACAAAUCAAGUUCAUUCCAAAAGUUUCUUGAAGUGGGGCAGCCUGUUGUAUACAAUGAGAACUGGGCCAUGUUGACCCAUUUGCCUGUCAUUAUAAUAUAGGCAUCACAGGAGGAGGGCUCAUAAUGUCUGGAACGGAGCAAAUGGAAUGGCAUCCAACACCUGGAAACCAUGUGUUUCAUACCAAUUCCACUGAUGUCGCGCCAGUCAUUACCACAAGCCCAUUCUGCCAAAUUACAGUGCCACCAACCUCCUGUGCUACAUAUACGUUUAAAAAGGGGUUGAUUUACAAUCUUUGGGGAAGACGGGUAUUGGUGAGCCUAACAUGAAAUCAACACUAACCCCAAUAAUGUGUAAUUACUCUGUUACAAGCAAUUUGUCUCUGGGUUUUAGUACCGUAAUGUUUCACCACCUUCCUACAAUCAGGGUGUAGGACAGUCUUUGCCAGUGACAACCAAUAAGGGCUUCAUUCUGAUCUACUAGGCCCUCCGCACCACCAACUCCCCCUGAAGUACUACAACCAUAUCCUAGCCACAAUUCAGUAGAGGUCUUCGUUGAGGUGCACAGCUGCAAGUUGUGUCCUCUAUGACUGGAAAAGGCCCAGAAGAUCCAACAUGCACCAGGAAAUCAUUUAAGAAGCAAAUAGAGUUUCUCUUGGACAAAUUCAGGUCCCGGCAAUAUCCAGCAACUUUGCGCAGCCAUUGAAGAGGAGUGGGACAACAUUCCACAGGCCACAAUCAACAGCCUGAUCAGCUCUAUGUGAAGGAGAUGUGUCGCGCUGCAUGAAGCAAAUGGUGGUCACACCAGAUACUGAUUGGUUUUCUGAUCCAGGCCCCUACAUUUUUUAAAGACUCAUUCUUCCAAUCAUGAAGUCUGUAGAAAUUGCGCCAGAAAGUGUGCUUGUCGCGCCUCCUCGUCACCGCUGGAUGGACAGUGCGGGGUGGUCAGUAGCUGGAGUCCGUUUUCAACGACAUGAAGUCUGGGUCUGAGCCUCUCAUUCACUCGGACAGGAGAACGACACGCAGAAGCAUGGAAUUGGAUAUUUAUUUCCAGGAAUACACAGACCAUGCAGCACAGACAGAAAACAAUGGGGGAUACAUGUCAACAGAUCCUGUCACGGUGUCUUCACAACGAUUCAACUUGGACAUUAAGCUCCACCCUGAGUCUCCACCCUACCACAACAGACCUCUGGUAACCAGCGCAGGACAGUCACUAAACAGAAGAAAAUAGACCGAAACUCUUGUGUGCAUUAAUGCAUACGACCCUGGAUACUGUUUCAGCAAACUGAAGUCUUAGGCUGUUCAGUGGACACUAGAUGGGGUAGAUCAUUACAUUGAUUGUUUUUAUUAAUGUGUUUCUAUUUUUGUAAGCUGCACUGACAUUCUGUUUUCUGGAUUGUAAACUGCUUUAAGUGCACUGUUGUGGCACAUGUUUUCAUAUGUGUAAAUAAAACCAAUCUAUAUAUUUGCCCAUUUGUGUUUUAGACAUUAUCCAUCACAGUUUGUAAUACUGAACAACUAUUGCUGCUGUAUGUAGAUAUUAACUGUACAUAGAAAAUACAUGGGUAAUAAAUAUAUAGAAAUUAACUACAUACAUAUUAAAACCUCCUAAAGGAUCAGUGUCCCUAUAUCGGGAUGGUUGUUGCUAAUGUGACUAGAAUUUUUAACCUUUUAUUUAACUAGGCUAGUCAGUUAAGAACAAAUUCUUAUUUUCAAUGACGGCCUAGGAACAGUGGGUUAACUGCCUUGUUCAGGGGCAGAACGACAGAUUUUUACCUUGUCAGCUCAGGGAUUUGAUCUUGCAACCUUUUGGUUACAAAUCCAAUGCUCUAACCACUAGGCUACCUAGUAAUCUUGUACUGAUUUGUCAUCCUGAGGGUCCCAGAGAUAAAAAUGUAGUAUAGUUUUAUAAAAUACAUUUUUAUAAUCAUAUAUAGGAACUGGGUAUUACGGUUUGAAGCCCUGCUGUCUUUGGCCCCACAACUACCCCACCUGGCCAUCUAGAUGUAUGAAGGUUUGUGUUUUUUUUUCUGUAAGGAAGCUAAUCAUCCUUCAUGUAUGACCUUCCUGGGAGUGUGUAAACUAAAAACAUA
rnacentral:lncRNA from 1 species